GUCAGCUCGUGUUGUGAAAUGUUGGGUUAAGUCCCGCAACGAGCGCAACCCUUAUCCUUUGUUGCCAGCGAUUAGGUCGGGAACUCAAAGGAGACUGCCAGUGAUAAACUGGAGGAAGGUGGGGAUGACGUCAAGUCAUCAUGGCCCUUACGACCAGGGCUACACACGUGCUACAAUGGCGCAUACAAAGAGAAGCGACCUCGCGAGAGCAAGCGGACCUCAUAAAGUGCGUCGUAGUCCGGAUUGGAGUCUGCAACUCGACUCCAUGAAGUCGGAAUCGCUAGUAAUCGUGGAUCAGAAUGCCACGGUGAAUACGUUCCCGGGCCUUGUACACACCGCCCGUCACACCAUGGGAGUGGGUUGCAAAAGAAGUAGGUAGCUUAACCUUCGGGAGGGCGCUUACCACUUUGUGAUUCAUGACUGGGGUGAAGUCGUAACAAGGUAACCGUAGGGGAACCUGC
rnacentral:rRNA from 1 species